rnacentral:misc_RNA from 1 species
UCCCGGUUAACCCGGGCAGUCUCACUAGAGUUCCCACCUUAAAUGUUGGCAACUAGUGAUAAGGGUUGCGCUCGUUGCUGGACUUAACCAAACACCUCACGGCACGAGCUGACGACAGCCAUGCAGCACCUGUGCACAGGCCCCGAAGGGAAUCAACAUCUCUGUUGCUGUCCUGUGCAUGUCAAGCCUGGGUAAGGUUCUUCGCGUUGCAUCGAAUUAAACCACAUGCUCCACUGCUUGUGCGGGUCCCCGUCAAUUCUUUUGAGUUUCAGCCUUGCGACUGUACUCCCCAGGCGGUAUACUUAUCGCGUUAGCUACGGCACAACUAGGGUUGAGUCCAGUUACACCAAGUAUACAUAGUUUACGGCAAGGACUAC